rnacentral:rRNA from 1 species
AGCGAACGCUGGCGGCAGGCUUAACACAUGCAAGUCGAACGGGCACUUCGGUGCUAGUGGCAGACGGGUGAGUAACACGUGGGAACGUACCUUUCGGUUCGGAAUAAUCCAGGGAAACUUGGACUAAUACCGGAUACGCCCUUCGGGGGAAAGAUUUAUCGCCGAUAGAUCGGCCCGCGUCUGAUUAGCUAGUUGGUGAGGUAAUGGCUCACCAAGGCGACGAUCAGUAGCUGGUCUGAGAGGAUGAUCAGCCACAUUGGGACUGAGACACGGCCCAAACUCCUACGGGAGGCAGCAGUGGGGAAUAUUGGACAAUGGGCGCAAGCCUGAUCCAGCCAUGCCGCGUGAGUGAUGAGGGCCUUAGGGUUGUAAAGCUCUUUUGUCCGGGAAGAUAAUGACUGUACCCGGAGAAGAAGCCCCGGCUAACUCCGUGCCAGCCGCCGCGGUAAUAC